rnacentral:rRNA from 1 species
AACGAACGCUGGCGGUGCGCCUAACACAUGCAAGUCGAGCGCGAAAGUCCCUUCGGGGGCGAGUAGAGCGGCGGACGGGUGAGUAAUACAUGGGUAAUCUACCCCCGAGCUUGGGAUAACCCCGCGAAAGCGGGGCUAAUACCUGAUAAGACCACAUAACACAAGUUGUGCGGUAAAAGGUGGCUUGAAUUUAUUCUAGCUAUCACUUGAGGAUGAGUCCAUGGCCUAUCAGCUUGUUGGUGAGGUAAGAGCUUACCAAGGCUAUGACGGGUAGCUGGUCUGAGAGGACGACCAGCCACACUGGGACUGAGACACGGCCCAGACUCCUACGGGAGGCAGCAGUGGGGAAUAUUGGGCAAUGGGCGAAAGCCUGACCCAGCGACACCGCGUGGGUGAUGAAAGCCUUCGGGUUUGUAAAGCCCUUUCGUGCGGAAAAGAACUGUUCCGCGGUUAAUACCCGCGGAAUUUGACGGUACCGCGAGGAAGAAGCAACCGGCUAACUCCCGUGACCCAGCCAGCCGUAC